rnacentral:piRNA from 1 species
UUCGACAAUGGCUACGUUCAA